GUGCCCUUUUAAGGUUGGGACAGUACUUUGAGAGGCUAACACAGAAGGAUAAAGGAAAUGAACCUCCAUAAAACCCAGAUAAGAGAUGGCAAACCUCCUCUCUGGAUCCUGUCUGGAGUCACAUGU